rnacentral:lncRNA from 1 species
AAAUAAAUACCAACUUAAUUAACUCGGUUACCAUGCCACUUGUUGUAUCGUUGGCGCUAACUAUUAAUCCUAAAAACUCGAGUUGUUAUAAAUACGCAACCAAUUUACUUAAAGUGUACAGAUCAUACGGCGCCCACGGGUUUCGAUUGUGACUCGGUUUAACCAGUCUCACGCCACUUCGAACAUAAUUUGGCUCAUCCAGCCUCAUGCCAUUUCGAAUAUGAUUCGACCCAACAUGGCCUCCGGCCAUAGGACAAGAUGCUGGCCAAUUUAAGCCAACAAAUUGCACCAAUGGUUCCUAACCUUUUUUCUUUAUCCUAGUUUGUCCUUUUUAU